GGAGGUAGUGACAAUAAAUCACAAUGCGGGACUCCUAGUCUUGCAAUUGGAUUGAGAACAACGUACAACUCUUAUCGAUAAGCCAUUGGAAGGCAAGUCUGGUGCCAGCAGCCGCGGUGAUUCCAGCUCCAAUAGCGUAUAUUAACGUUGUUGCAGUUAAAAAGCUCGUAGUUGAAGUGAGGGAGUGUGUGGGUAUGAGAGCUAGUCUCAAGUACUCACAACCUCCCCCCUCCAAUCGGUGUAGUGGGGUAUUCAGUUAUUCUACUACUCCUUUGGUCGUUUACUGUGAGAAAAUUAGAGUGUUCAAAGCGGGCGUUUGUUUGAAUAGAUUAGCAUGGAAUAAUGAUUGAAGGCUUUCGUGUUCGAUUUGAUUGGUUUGUUCAUGGAAGCAAGGUUAAAAGGAACAGUUGGGGGUAUUCAUAUUCACUAGUUAGAGGUGAAAUUCUCGGAUUUAUGGAAGAUGAACAAGUGCGAAAGCA
rnacentral:rRNA from 1 species